UACGUAGGUGGCAAGCGUUGUCCGGAAUUAUUGGGCGUAAAGCGCGCGCAGGCGGCCUCUUAAGUCUGACGUGAAAGCCCCCGGCUCAACCGGGGAGGGCCAUUGGAAACUGGGAGGCUUGAGUAUAGGAGAGAAGAGUGGAAUUCCACGUGUAGCGGUGAAAUGCGUAGAGAUGUGGAGGAACACCAGUGGCGAAGGCGACUCUUUGGCCUAUAACUGACGCUCAUGCACGAAAGCGUGGGGAGCAAACAGG
rnacentral:rRNA from 1 species